GAUGAACGCUGGCGGCGUGCCUAAUACAUGCAAGUCGAGCGAACGGACGAGAAGCUUGCUUCUCUGAUGUUAGCGGCGGACGGGUGAGUAACACGUGGAUAACCUACCUAUAAGACUGGGAUAACUUCGGGAAACCGGAGCUAAUACCGGAUAAUAUUUUGAACCGCAUGGUUCAAAAGUGAAAGACGGUCUUGCUGUCACUUAUAGAUGGAUCCGCGCUGCAUUAGCUAGUUGGUAAGGUAACGGCUUACCAAGGCAACGAUGCAUAGCCGACCUGAUAGGGUGUUCGGCCACACUGGAACUGAGACACGGUCCAGACUCCUACGGGAGGCAGCAGUAGGGAAUCUUCCGCAAUGGGCGAAAGCCUGACGGAGCAACGCCGCGUGAGUGAUGAAGGUCUUCGGAUCGUAAAACUCUGUUAUUAGGGAAGAACAUAUGUGUAAGUAACUGUGCACAUCUUGACGGUACCUAAUCAGAAAGCCACGGCUAACUACGUG
rnacentral:rRNA from 1 species